rnacentral:lncRNA from 10 species
AAUUAUUUUUUUAAUUAGCUGGGCACAGUAACAAGUAUCUGCCAUUCCAGCCACUCGGCCUCCCACAGUGCUGGGAUUACAGGGAUGAGCCACUGCGCCUGGCACAUUUCAGCUCCUCAUUCCUUUUCAGCUCUCUUGAUCCCAUACACUUUGUUUUCAGAGAAGCUUUGGGGGUUCUAAUGGGAGAUGUCUCCAGCUCACUUCUUCCCAUCUUGCUGGCAUCCUGGCCUGGCUGAGCUGGAUGCCUGGGUCCACCGUAAUCCCCACCUGCUUCUUACCCCCAUUAGGACUGUGCCGUGCACAGGUGGGCAGGGAGAGGGCUCGUGAGAGAAAUAACUGGAACACAGAUGCCCACUGUAUCAGUUAGCUUUUGCUACAGAAAUGCUUCCUAACAAAUGACCCCACACGUCACCCUAAAGCGACACUCAUUUAUUCUCAUAGUGGGUUGAUUGGUUGACUGACCUGGGCUGGACUUGGCAGGGAAGCUCUGCUGGUCUUGGCUGGGCUCAGCCAUGUGACUAGGGGUCAGGUGGGAAGGAAUUCAUCAAGGUCAUCCUUGUCCUGGGGCUAGUGGGAUGGCCGAGGUGUGUUCUUAUGGCCCAGCAGCCUCAUAUGAUUGGCAAAGCAAGUCACAUGGCAAUGGCUGGAGUGCAGAGGCAGGGACCCAGGCCCUGCUCACCGUGGAAGGGCUCUUGCAAAAUCACUUGGCAAAGGGCAGCCAGACACAGGAAGGGACACAGACCUGGGGCCAGCGACGUGACUGGGAGUAACCAUGCAUCUCAGUGGUGGUGCCCAAUCUCUCUCCCAACCACCCUGGGAGCAUUGGAGCUGGAACAAACAGCUGAGGUGGAAAGACCACAGAGUCAGUGGGGUAAAUGGUCCCAGCUACUUGGGAGGCCGAGGCGGGAGGAUCACUUGAGUCCAGGAGGUGGAGGCUGCAGUGAGCUAUAAUCAUGUCACUGCACUGCAGCCUGGGUAACAGAGAAAGACCCUAUCUCAAAAAAAAAAAAACAAACAAAAACAAAGCUAGAAAACCCCACUGACUUCUCCAAAGCCUCCAGGAAGACACGUUCCUCCUCCUCCCAGGGCUGAGGUCUCCCCACUGCACAGCCACACUCCCAGGUAGACAGAAGAGGCCUCCCUGAGUCACAACCACCCAGUGCCUCACCUCAUCGAUUCUGACCGUUUUAGAGUGAGGUGCAAUGAGCUGGUCGCAUCCAGGACUCUCCUGAGCUUGGAGACAUAGUACAAUCCUUUUGAUUUCCUGCUCAGAUCCGCCCUGUCCUGUGCAAGCCCCAGCCAAGCCCCUUCCUAGGUCAGCUCCCUCCAGAGUGCUGCUCAGGAGACGGGCGUUCUUCUGAUAUCCUUAGCGCAGGGAGGAUCCCCCCUUGCACUGGGCUGUGCCUCAGCUGGUGGCUGGGCUUGCCUCACUCUCGGGGAGACAGGAGUGGGCUGCCUCCUCCUCCUCCUGUUUCUUUGUCUCCAUGCUUCCCUGACUUCGCCUCUUUUAACAAAACUCUUCUAAUGUAAUAAAUUUCUUUUGUGGUCAAAAACUUGCAGUACAGGCUGGGCGCAGUGGCUCAUGCCUGUCAUCCCAGCACUUUGGGAGACCGAGGUGAGAGGAUCGCUUGAGGCCAGGAGUUUGAGACCAGCCUGGGCAACAUAGUGAGACCCUGUCUCUACAAGAAAUAUUUAAAAAGUAGCCUAGUGCGGUGGUGUACACCUGUAGUCCCAACUACUCCAGAGGCUGAGGUGGGAGGAUUACAUGAGCCUAGGAACUGGAGGCUGCAGUGAUCUAUGAUUGCACCACUGCCCUCCAGCCUGAGUGACAGAGCAAGACCCUGUCUCAAAAAACUAAACCAAGCUGGGUGCGGUGGCUUACACCUGUAAUCCCAGCACUUUGGAAGGCUGAGGCAGGCAGAUCACGAGGUCAGGAGUUCAAGACUAGCCUGGCCAACAUGGUGAAACCCCGACUCUGCUAAAAAUACAAAAAUUAGCCAGGCAUGGUGGGGCGUGACUGUAGUCCCAGCUACUUGGGAGGCUGCGGCAGGAGAAUAGCUUGAAACUGGGAGGUGGAGGUUGCAGUGAGCCAAGAUCAUGCCACUGCACUCCAGCCUGGGUGACAGAGCGAGACUACGUCUCAAAACAAAAAACAACAAACAAACAAAAAACCAUGAAAACCUCCCAGUACACAGAAUGGGUGUGACCGCUCAAGGGGGCUUCUGGGGAGGCCCCUUCUGGAGGUGAUCGCUGCUCAGUUAAGGCUUUCUGGACUCCUGAGAUUGGUGGGCCACACCUGGGGUUGACCGCUAGACCUUGGGCAGGUUGUUUCUCUUUCAGCCUCAGUUUUCUCAUCUAUAAAAUGGGGACAGAAGAGCACCUGCCUUACAGGGCAGUUGCAAAGACUAAAUGAAGUUACGUGUGUAAGGCACUGAGUACACUAUGGCACUUGAUGUUGAAUACGUUGUCUUUCUCUUUGCUUUACUUAGGAGUUUGAAUCAAUAAAAGAAGUGUCAGGCAGGUGCGUGCACAUGUGUUUGUGUGUGUGUGUGUGAACACCGAUGCUGGUUAACAGAUCAUCUGUGUGGUAAGGACAAGGUUCUCAGAAGAUAAGUCUUCAUCAUAAACCCAGGGAAGAUAAGGCUGUGCUCAGUGAAAGCAAGAAUUCACCCUUUUCCACUGAGCUCUGGGCCCCUCACCUUCUGUGAUAGCCCGGGACUUGGGUGUAUCUUUUGUGGCCUGUGCCACAACCACAGUCCUGGACCCAAAUUUGCGAGAACUCACAGUGUCUUCUGGGGGUAGGGAAAGCUCUGGUUCCCAAGUUUUAGGGUCCCCAUGCGAUAUGGUUUUGCUGUGUCCCCACCCAAAUCUCACCUUGAAUUGUAAUAAUCCCCACAUUUCAAGGGCGGGGCCAGGUGGAGAUAAUUGAGUCCUGGAGGCGGUUUCCUCAUACUGUUCUCAUGGUGGUGAAUAAGUCUCAUGAGAGCUGAUGGUUUUAUAAAGGGGAGUUCCCCUGCACACACCCUCUUGCCUGCUGCCAUGUAAGAUGUGACUUUGCUCCUCCAUUGCCUUCCACCAUGAUUGUGAGGCCUCCCCAGCCAUGUGGAACUGUGAGUCCAUUAAACCUCUUUCCCAUAUAAUUACCCAGUCUCGGGUAUGUCUUUAUUAGCCGUGUGAGAACAGAUUAAUACACCAUGCUGUACCCUCUGUCCCAUCAGCAGUCUCCCCUUUGACAGUAUCAUCUGUCACAGUCACAAUAAGGUCCUGAAAACACUUUACCAGUUCCGCCGUGUCUGUGCCUCUGUUUCCUCAUCUGUCAAAGAAGACUGGAAUCAUACCUGCCUCACAGG